rnacentral:lncRNA from 1 species
AUGUUUCUAAUAUUAAGAAAAAUGUAGCUUCAAAAGCACGUUUGUACGAAGUAGGUUUUAAAGCCAAUAAUUUUACAAGAAACAACAAAAGUUUUCCCAAAAAACAGGUUUUCAGCAAAAACUCUUCUGCACUUAUUGGGACCAAGCCUUGUGCCUGGUGCUGUGCCCAUGAAACCCGUGAGUGCAGUGAGCUUGGAGAUGAGCUGACACCUCUCUCAUCCCAUGUUCUGUCUGGGGCCGAUUAAGCUGAAUUAAAAUAGUACCCGGCCCUUAGAAGAUGCCAGAAGAACGCUUCAGAUGAGAAGCAGUAAUUUAUUCUGAUUAGAGCUGACUGCGUGCCAGACACCAGCCUAACUAUUCCCCAUCUCCUGCCCCAAAAGGUCAGAGAGCUCGACAUCAGCUUUGCCUGGAUUCAUCCUAAAUAACAGAGCGAGAGCAGGGGGAGGAUGGCGAGCCACUCGCAGGAAUGGGGACUCGAAGAGGGCACAUCUCAUGGUCUCUUGGAAGAAGGGAAGGUGUUUCACUACUCCUUCUUAGUUCCCCUGCUCCAGCUUCUCCCAGCAGAACAGAGGAGUCAGAAGAAAGCAAUUAAUGAAUAAAGAAAAAAGCCCUGCACAAAUGCUUCAAGAUAAAAAAAGAAAAAUUAAGAAAGAAAAAAAAAAAAGGGAAAGAAAUCUUCCAAACGCUGAAGAAGGGGGAUAAUUGAUGGUUCCAUUUUAACCUAAUGUUAUUUCUGGAUCUCCUUUUUUUAUAAUGUGUUAUUUACUGCAUAGUUUAGAGCUGACAGAAAAUAAACAGCAUUUGCAAUAUAACGUCGUUAGCA